rnacentral:rRNA from 1 species
GAUGAACGCUGGCGGCGUGCCUAAUACAUGCAAGUCGAGCGAACGGACGAGAAGCUUGCUUUUCUGAUGUUAGCGGCGGACGGGUGAGUAACACGUGGAUAACCUACCUAUAAGACUGGGAUAACUUCGGGAAACCGGAGCUAAUACCGGAUAAUAUUUUGAACCGCAUGGUUCAAAAGUGAAAGACGGUCUUGCUGUCACUAAUAGAUGGAUCCGGGUUGCAUUAGCUAGUUGGUAAGGUAACGGCUUACCAAGGCAACGAUGCGUAGCCGACCUGAGAGGGUGAUCGGCCACACUGGAACUGAGACACGGUCCAGACUCCUACGGGAGGCAGCAGUAGGGAAUCUUCCGCAAUGGGCGAAAGCCUGACGGAGCAACGCCGCGUGAGUGAUGAAGGUCUUCGGAUCGUAAAACUCUGUUAUUAGGGAAGAACAUAUGUGUAAGUAACUGUGCACAUCUUGACGGUACCUAAUCAGAAAGCCACGGCUAACUACGUG